GCCGGUCUAAUCACAUAGGAAUAUCUAAAUAAGCUCUUUGUAGGAAGUUUAACCAAAACCUUUGUCAUAUUACUGUUCAAUAUAGUAUUUGGUAGUCUUAAUAAAAGGACCUAGACUGAUGCACCCACCAAGGCAGCAACUUCGUCCUUGUUUAUAUCCAUAUUGUAUUAUGAAAUAAGAGAGAGGAAUUUGCCAAUUUAGACCAUCGGUCAAAUUUUAUGACCAUAAUACUCUUGGUUUCUCUCUUUAACUACAUAUAUAUGAGAAAAUAUGAUUAAAAGUUAGAUAUACAAUCAUGUACAUUUCCAUUUAUUUCUGCAUCUCUAUCUCUUAUCUACUUUUAUCAACAUGUAUUUAUC
rnacentral:lncRNA from 1 species